rnacentral:rRNA from 1 species
GAUGAACGCUGGCGGCGUGCCUAAUACAUGCAAGUCGAGCGAACAGACGAGGAGCUUACUCCUCUGACGUUAGCGGCGGACGGGUGAGUAACACGUGGAUAACCUACCUAUAAGACUGGGAUAACUUCGGGAAACCGGAGCUAAUACCGGAUAACAUGUUGAACCGCAUGGUUCAACAGUGAAAGGCGGUCUUGCUGUCACUUAUAGAUGGAUCCGCGUCGCAUUAGCUAGUUGGUAAGGUAACGGCUUACCAAGGCAACGAUGCGUAGCCGACCUGAGAGGGUGAUCGGCCACACUGGAACUGAGACACGGUCCAGACUCCUACGGGAGGCAGCAGUAGGGAAUCUUCCGCAAUGGGCGAAAGCCUGACGGAGCAACGCCGCGUGAGUGAAGAAGGUCUUCGGAUCGUAAAACUCUGUUAUUAGGGAAGAACAAAUGUGUAAGUAACUAUGCACGUCUUGACGGUACCUAAUCAGAAAGCCACGGCUAACUACGUG